rnacentral:rRNA from 1 species
ACCAGACUCCUACGGGAGGCAGCAGUGGGGGAUAUUGCACAAUGGGGGGAACCCUGAUGCAGCGACGCCGCGUGGGUGAAGAAGCGCCUCGGCGCGUAAAGCCCUGUCAGCAGGGAAGAAAAUGACGGUACCUGAAGAAGAAGCCCCGGCUAACUACGUGCCGGCAGCCGCGGUAAUACGUAGGGGGCAAGCGUUAUCCGGAUUUACUGGGUGUAAAGGGGGCGCAGACGGCGAUGCAAGCCAGGAGUGAAAGCCCGGGGCCCAACCCCGGGACUGCUCUUGGAACUGCGUGGCUGGAGUGCAGGAGGGGCAGGCGGAAUUCCUGGUGUAGCGGUGAAAUGCGUAGAUAUCAGGAGGAACACCGGUGGCGAAGGCGGCCUGCUGGACUGCAACUGACGUUGAGGCCCGAAAGCGUGGGGAGCAAACAGGAUUAGAUACCCCCGUACU